rnacentral:rRNA from 1 species
GAUUCAACCUCGCCCUAUAUAGAAAAAUAAUCUCGGGAAACUGAGAAUAAUAUUUCAUAGUUGAAUUGGCUUGGAAAAGUUAUUCAAUUAAAGGGAUAAGGAAAACGGUCCUUAUUCGCUAUAGGAUGGGAUUGUGGCCGAUUAUGGUAGUUGGUGAGGUAAUGGCUCACCAAGCCGAUAAUCGAUAGGGGCCGUGAGAGCGGGUGCCCCGAGAUGGGUACUGAGACAACGACCCAGGCCUUACGAGGCGCAGCAGGCGCGAAACCUCCGCAAUACACGAAAGUGUGACGGGGUUACCCAAAGUGUCCUAUAAAGGACUGUGGUAGGUGAGUAAUGUUCCCUACUAUAAAGGAGAGGGCAAGGCUGGUGCCAGCCGCCGCGGUAAAACCAGCUCUUCAAGUGGUCGGGAUAAUUAUUGGGCUUAAAGUGUCCGUAGCCGGUUUAGUAAGUUUCUGGUAAAAUCGGGUAGCUUAACUAUCCGCAUGCUAGGAAUACUGCUAUACUAGAGGGCGGGAGAGGUCUGAGGUACUACAGGGGUAGGGGUGAAAUCUUAUAAUCCUCGUAGGACCACCAGUGGCGAAGGCGUCAGACUGGAACGCGCCUGACGGUGAGGGACGAAAGCCAGGGGAGCGAACCGGAUUAGAUACCCGGGUAGUCCUGGCCGUAAACGAUGCAUACUAGGUGACGACACGGCUAUGAGCCG